UACGUAGGGUGCAAGCGUUAAUCGGAAUUACUGGGCGUAAAGCGUGCGCAGGCGGUUAUGUAAGACAGAUGUGAAAUCCCCGGGCUUAACCUGGGAAUUGCGUUGGAGACUGCAAGGCUGGAGUCUGGCAGAGGGGGGUAGAAUUCCACGUGUAGCAGUGAAAUGCGUAGAGAUGUGGAGGAACACCGAUGGCGAAGGCAGCCCCCUGGGUCAAGACUGACGCUCAUGCACGAAAGCGUGGGGAGCAAACAGG
rnacentral:rRNA from 1 species